UACGUAGGGUGCGAGCGUUGUCCGGAAUUAUUGGGCGUAAAGAGCUCGUAGGCGGUCUGUCGCGUCGGUCGUGAAAACUUGGGGCUUAACCCUGAGCUUGCGGUCGAUACGGGCAUGACUGGAGUUCGGUAGGGGAGACUGGAAUUCCUGGUGUAGCGGUGAAAUGCGCAGAUAUCAGGAGGAACACCGGUGGCGAAGGCGGGUCUCUGGGCCGUAACUGACGCUGAGGAGCGAAAGCAUGGGGAGCGAACAGG
rnacentral:rRNA from 1 species